AGUAACUGCCGAUCUUAAAGGCUUUCCAUCUUUAGAUUUUACUGUACUUGAAUUUAAAGAUCCAAAAACCAUAUCUAUACACAGGCAGAAUUCUGCUGUUCCAUGUGCCUUUGAAAGUAUAUCAUCCUCACCUAUAGUAUAAACAAAUUGUAUAACAUGAGUCUGAUUUACCUUAGGCAGAGUACGUAGAACACAGGAUUCAUUUUUAAUGUCAAACUCAAAAAGUUUUCUAAUGUGAUCCCACGAAGCUUCAUAAGUAAUAUUAUUUUUGAAUUUUUAUGGCUGCACUAUUUGUUCCGCCUUGAUCACACACUGUAGUUAAUAGUUGUAAACCAGUUGAUUAGAUAGCAGUUAUUACUUCUUUGAUACAGUUUACUAGUUGAGGAGUUUUAGUUGUGCUCUGGCAAAAAUAAUAAGCUACUGCUUGUUUCCACUUUUUGUUGAUUCCACGCAGUUACAAUUUUGCAUUGUUACUUGGUAAAAAUAAAGUUGGUAGGGACCCUUUUUAUAACUUUUUUGUUCCUGAGCUGUCACAGAACCGAUCAAAAUGUAAAUGACAAACCGCAUAUCGGCGUCUAACGACAGAGUUUUCAAGAUGAAAUAAUUUGUUAUUAUUACACCGUUGAAGCCACAUAUUAAAAUCAUCAUCAUUUUGAGGAAAAACAUGUUUUCUUU